GGAUUAGAUACCCUGGUAGUCCACGCUGUAAACGAUCGGUACUAGACUUGAUGAGAUUUGACCCUUGUCGAGUCGGAGCUAACGCAAUAAGUACCGCGCCUGGGGAGUACGGUCGCAAGAUUAAAACUCAAAGGAAUUGACGGGGGCCCGCACAAGCGGUGGAUCAUGUGGUUUAAUUCGAAGCAACGCGAAGAACCUUACCUGGAUUUGACAUCCUCUGACAUCCAUAGAGAUAUGGCUUUCGUAGCAAUACGACAGAGAGACAGGUGCUGCAUGGCUGUCGUCAGCUCGUGCCG
rnacentral:rRNA from 1 species